GACGAACCCUGCAAACGUUAUUCGGAAUUACUGGGCUUAAAGCGUGCGUAGGCGGCUCAGAAAGUUGGGUGUGAAAUCCCUCGGCUCAACCGAGGAAUUGCGCCCAAAACUACUGGGCUCGAGGGAGUUAGAGGUGAGCGGAACUCACGGUGGAGCGGUGAAAUGCGUUGAUAUCGUGAGGAACACCAGUGGCGAAGGCGGCGAUCUGGGAAGAUACUGACGCUGAGGUGCGAAAGCGUGGGGAGCAAACAGG
rnacentral:rRNA from 1 species